UACGAAGGGGGCUAGCGUUGUUCGGAAUUACUGGGCGUAAAGCGCGCGCAGGCGGCUAUCCAAGUCAGUGGUGAAAGCCCGGAGCUCAACUCCGGAACUGCCAUUGAAACUGUUUAGCUUGAGGACGAGAGAGGUGAGUGGAAUUCCCAGUGUAGAGGUGAAAUUCGUAGAUAUUGGGAAGAACACCGGUGGCGAAGGCGGCUCACUGGCUCGUUUCUGACGCUCAGGCGCGACAGCGUGGGGGAUCAAACAGG
rnacentral:rRNA from 1 species